UUGAGGACAAUUGUUCAAGUGAGAAGAGGGCUGUGCAGAUCUCAAGAUGACAUCGGGAUCCUGAUGUGAAGUUUUCCUGCUUCUGGAGGAGGGAAGCAGAGGGCUGUUUUGCCUCCUCUGGGCCAGGGAUGCAUGGAAUGGCAGAGGUGGGGGCUCCCAGCUAUGGUGACUGGGAGGGCAGGUCGGGGUCCCUGGAAGCAGAUCCUGAGACAAAGUCCCCUGUGCAAGAGAUUUAUUUCAAAGGUGUGCCCAGCUCUUGGUGGCCCAGGGUGGGCCUUGGCCUUCAGCCUGCUGACCCAGGACCCUCACUCCUUCCAUAGUGGGGACCAGUGCCUGUCUGAGCCCCAUCAUGAUCCCACUGGGAGGUACUUGUUAUAACUGGUUAGAGGAAUGAAUGAUACAAAGAGAAAGGAUUUGCCAUUUCAAUCCCAGCCAUCUCUGCUUGACAUACCUUGUGACCCUGCGCAAGUCACCUCAUCUUUUGAGUUUCUCUUUCUCCAUCUGUGAAACU
rnacentral:lncRNA from 1 species